rnacentral:tRNA from 1 species
UCCCUGGGGGAUUAGUGGUUAGGCCACGGCGGUCUCACUGCCACAGCCCGGGUUCAAUUCCCAGCCAGGUAA